CUGAUUAUGCAUGAACCAAUAGUUAGGGUUAGGGUUAGGCUUUUACAAAGGAUUGGCUUUUAAGGUGCCUGCUGUCGCAUCCUGGGAAAGAGGAAUUUUUCAAGUGACUUUCAACAAAGCUGAUUGUAAAUCAAAAGAGAAUACCUUUACAAUCAACAGCCAGGCUGAAAUAGUACAAACACCAGGCAAGAUAUAAGGACCAAGCACAAUAUUAACAACCCAAAAAUGACAUUGACCGUAAAAAGAAGAGAUUUUAACCUGGUGGACAGGUGCUUUUAUUCUUAUGGAAAGUUUAUGGCUUCCUUAGGGUAAGGUUUCAUGGCGAGUUGUUAUUUUCCAUGCAAACAGGUUCUGAUAAAAAAACAUAAAAUCAUUGGAUUGAUUUUUA